AUUUAAUCACUUAGUUUAGAUAUUUUCAAGUUUCAAAUAUUUUAGAGAAUUCCACGCUUUUUCCCAAUUAAACCUAGUGAUGAAACUCCUUCAUUUUGCUUUAGUCAUCCUCGAUCCCCCUUGAUUUUCGUUGUGAUACAGUCAAUAUAUCACCACCACCAGUAUUCUUACAACCAUAUCUCAGUACCUCAAGUUCGUUGAUGGGAUCUGUUGCACAGUUUAGUACUGCCACUAUUCUGACAACCAAUCUCUUUCUCUCUAUCGUCAUUGUGGUUCAGUGGAACGUAUUACCUUCUACUCUUUUGUAACCUCUAUUGUUGGUUAAUUUGCUUAUAGCAGUGGCUAGUACGUUGGAUCCAAGAUUAAAGUUCGGCUGAUUGAGCUUGUUUUUCCCUUUUUAUAUGGUGAAGAUCAGACCAUUGAGGAGAUUGAGAAUGUCAAAAAGGUUUUUCAAACCUUAUAUAACUAGUAUAUGAAAUUUUUAUCUUUGGAAAGUGCUAACAAUGUAUAAACACGAGUUAAUGGAUCAGGUUGGCAAUGCUUAAGACAACAGAUCAGGAAGGUCAAAUCCGAACCAGUUGUCAAGAUAGAGCGGAUGUGUAUCUCAAAAAAGGUUGCUUAGAAACAAAUGAGGAAACCAAAUUCUCUGACUUUAAUGCUCUUCAAUGGUGGAAGACAAAUCAUUUGAAGUUCAAAGUUCUUUCUUGGAUGGCUGCAUAAAUUUUAGUGAUUCCAAUCUCUUUUGUAGCCUUAGAGCAAGCUUUUAGUGUAGAUCAAGAGUUAUUAACCCUUAUAGGGCAUCAUUAUUGCCAGAAUCUGUCAAUAUGAUGAUUUGCGAGGGUGAUUGGAUUAGAGUCAUGCAUCGAGUGAGAAAACCAUCACAGCUGGUUAAUAUUUGUUUCAAUUUGUUGGAUAUUUUGGAUAGAUGUUGAAAUGGUUCUCAAUCCUUUUUUUUUCAAA